UGGAAAAGGAUGUGGGAUUUCGAAGACAACUAGGAUGUUGGCUCAGAAGCAGCCACACAUUCAAAGAGUGCGUAACAGCUCACUAGUCGAGAGGUCCUGCGCCGAAAAUGUCCGGGGCUGAAACACGACACCGAAGCUUAGGAAUCACAUAGUGAUUGGUAGAGGAGCAUUCUUAAAACCGACGAAGCUGUACCGGAAGGAGCAGUGGAGGGAUAAGAAGAGAGAAUGCCGGAAUGAGUAGCGAGAGAGAGGUGGGAAUCCUCUCGGCCGAAUAUCCAAGGUUUCCAGAGUAAAGCUGAUCUGCUCUGGGUAAGUCGGGGCCUAAGGCGAGGUCAAAAGACGUAGCCGAUGGACAACAGGUUUAGAUUCCUGUACCGCAUAUAAACAGAACUGUGGGGACGCAUGGGGAGAGCAUGGGCCGGGAAUGGAAAUACCGGUGCAAGCGAAGGAGGUGUGCAGCCGGCAAAUCCGCUGCAUGAGCCGAAAGCGUGACGCGGAGCGAAAUGAAAGUAGCGAAGCAUGUGAGCCCUGUGCCGAGAAAAGCCGCUAUUGUUUUAUAUGUGCCCGUACCGUAAACCGACACAGGUGGAUGAGGAGAGAAUCCUAAGGCCGGCGGAAGAAGCAUUGUUAAGGAACUCGGCAAAAUGACCCCGUAACUUCGGGAGAAGGGGUGCCCACUUCAGGGUGGGCCGCAGAGAAUAGGCUCAAGCAACUGUUUAGCAAAAACACAGGUCUAUGCGAAACCGAAAGGUGAAGUAUAUGGGCUGACGCCUGCCCGGUGCUGGAAGGUUAAGAGGAGAGGUUAGCGCAAGCGAAGCUUUGAAUUUAAGCCCCAGUAAACGGCGGCCGUAACUAUAACGGUCCUAAGGUAGCGAAAUUCCUUGUCGGGUAAGUUCCGACCCGCACGAAAGGCGUAAUGAUUUGAGCACUGUCUCGACAAUGCAUCCGGUGAAAUUGAAGUACCAGUGAAGAUGCUGGUUACCCGCGCCAGGACGGAAAGACCCCAUGGAGCUUUACUCCAGUUUGGUACUGGGAUUCGGUACUGCACGUACAGGAUAGGUGGGAGACUUUGAAACUUGAACGCCAGUUUGAGUGGAGUCGCUGUUGGGAUACCACCCCUGCAGUAUUGGGUUUCUAACCAGUCACCGUGACCCGGUGAUGGGACAAUGCCAGGCGGGGAGUUUGACUGGGGCGGUCGCCUCCGAAAGGGUAUCGGAGGCGCUCAAAGGUUCCCUCAGAAUGGUCGGAAACCAUUUGAAGAGUGCAAAGGCAGAAGGGAGCUUGACUGCGACACCGACGGGUGGAGCAGGU
rnacentral:rRNA from 1 species